rnacentral:rRNA from 1 species
UCCGUAGGUGAACCUGCGGAGGGAUCAUUACCGAGUUUACAACUCCCAAACCCCUGUGAACAUACCUUUAUGUUGCCUCGGCGGAUCAGCCCGCGCCCCGUAAAACGGGACGGCCCGCCGCAGGAACCACAAAACUCUGAUUUUAGUGUAACUUCUGAGUCUAAAAAACAAAUAAAUCAAAACUUUCAACAACGGAUCUCUUGGUUCUGGCAUCGAUGAAGAACGCAGCAAAAUGCGAUAAGUAAUGUGAAUUGCAGAAUUCAGUGAAUCAUCGAAUCUUUGAACGCACAUUGCGCCCGCCAGUAUUCUGGCGGGCAUGCCUGUUCGAGCGUCAUUUCAACCCUCAAGCCCCCGGGUUUGGUGUUGGGGAUCGGGCUGUACUCCAGCCCGGCCCCGAAAUCUAGUGGCGGUCUCGCUGCAGCCUCCAUUGCGUAGUAGCUAACACCUCGCAACUGGAACGCGGCGCGGCCAAGCCGUUAAACCCCCAACUUCUGAAUGUUGACCUCGGAUCAGGUAGGAAUACCCGCUGAACUUAAGCAUAUCAAUAAGCGGAGGA